GGAAGGAUCAUUGAAUCUAAUCAAAUCCACACACGUGAACUAACCAUGUUGGCCAUCCGGGUCUCGCAUUCGGAUUGAGAUGGGUGUAGGUUGGAAAACCUGUGCCUGCCUCAGUCGCUGCAUUCAUGCAAAAUGGAUGCGGUGUCGGUCUCUGUAUCUAACCAACCAACACCAAACUUAAUUCAUACAUAAUGUCGAGGGAUCCGCUUAGAGCUGGCCCUCAUUAACCAAGACAACUCUCAACAACGGAUAUCUUGGCUCUCAGAUCGAUGAAGAACGCAGCGAAAUGCGAUACGUAGUGUGAAUUGCAGAAAUACGUGAAUCAUCGAAUCUUUGAACGCAAAUUGCGCUCAAGGCUUCGGCCAAGAGCAUGUCUGCCUCAGCGUCGGGUUAAUACUCAUGUGCACAUUCGCCACCAUGAAUGUGUGUGUGGAGCUGACUGUCUCGGUGCAGGCCUUCUGUCGGGAGGUGUGUGAGCCGGGUUAGUUGAAGUGCAGAUGUCAAAGCAUGGACCGUAAAUCGGGCCUCUACUGGGUAGGCAACUUGUUUGCUGAAAUGCUUUAGUAGAUGGCUUGGGUACUGUCUUUGGCACAAAACAGGAGUAUCUGUUCAAUCAGAUACAACCAAAUACCAUUUUCUCGACCUGAGCUCAGGCAAGAUU
rnacentral:misc_RNA from 1 species